rnacentral:lncRNA from 1 species
AAAUAUGAACACACGUUUAGUAUAAUGCCUUGAGAACGUGUUUCCAACAGUUUUUGGUUUAUAGAACUUACCUCCAAUCAAUCUUCUUUGAAACCCUCUUCAAUUUUCCCAAACAGCUCUCAAAAUGCCUAAUAAUGGAGGAAAAUAUGACUAAGCUCGUGGAGGAAAUGUUUAAAAACUAUUCUGCCCAACUCUAAUUUUUAUUCAAUGCAAUCGCGGCCCCAGGCACGCGAUUUCGAAUAGCAAUUUCCCAAGCCUCCAAAAAUGUGCUAUGCAAACGCGACCUUUCUGAUGCGAACGUGAUGCCUUGACUUUUCAAUCUACGCGAAUGCGGCGAACGCAAUGGACAAGUAUGAUGGGUCCUAGGUCCUCUUACGCGAUCGCGAACUUCUUACUGCGAAAGCAAAGUACCAAGAAUUCACCUUCCGCGAUCACAGACCCCUUAUCGCGAACACGUAGAACAAAACUCCAGCCUGCCAAAAUCCUUCUAUGUGAUUGCGGCCCCAAGCUCGCGAUGACCAAAAUACCCCUACACAACUGCUGCAAUUUUUGCAAUAACUCAAAGUCCAAAUCCUCCCGUUUAGCCACCCGAAAUCACCCAGAGAUCCCCAGGACCUCAACCAAAAGUACCAACACACCCUAAAACAUCAUUUAAACUUGUUCCAAUCAUCAAAACACCUCAAACAACACCAAACCAAACAAAUUACAUCAAAUCAAGCCUAAGUUCUUCUAAAACUCUACCAAACAACGUCCGAAUGAUCUGAAAUAUUGCACACACAUCCCAAAUGACAUAACUAAGCUAUUGAAACUCUCGGAAUUCUAUUCCGACUCUCGGAUCAAAAUCUCACAUACCAACCGAAAUUCGCCAAAAUACUAACUUCAUCAAUUCAAGCCAAAUUUCACACCGGACCUCCAAAAUUAAUUCCGAUCAUAAUCCUAAGUCAUAAAUCACCUUACGAAGCUAACCAUAUCAUAAAAAUUUCGAUUCGGGCUCAUAUGCUUAGUUAACUAUUGGUCAAACCUUCCAAAUUCCAAGCUUUCAGCUGAAACUGUUCCUUCAAAUUUAUUUUGAUUAACAUGAAACCAAAACCAACGAUUUACAUAAGUUAUAAUACACCACAUAUCAAAUCAUGCCCGAGAACUGACGAUAAAAGUGCAAAAGUUUAAAACGACCGGUCGAAUCGUUAUACUAUGCUUUUCUACUACAAUGUUUAAACUCAAAAAUAAAGAAAUAAAAAUUAGUCAAGAAUAAAAUCCAAAAGUAUUUUGAUGUAGGAUGUUUGUCAGACAUAAAAUUCUAAAGAACAUUAUUUUUAUUGUAUAGAACACCAUCACUUCUUCAAACAUUCGAGAAUACAAUAGCAAAUAGCAUGGUUUAGUGAGUAAAGUUUUAACACAGCCAAUUUGGAUACAAACGUGACUUAAAGUGUGGAUUUUUCACAUCACCUCAGUAUCAGAAAAUAUUCUAUGCGCAUUCCACUAUAACAGAUAAAACAUAAACUUAAGACAUGCUUUUUUUAAGCAAAUACAAUUCCUUUAAGUGAAGAACAUGAUCAAAAAGUCGGAUUUUACCUUUUAUGGGGCAGUGAACUUGGGGCUUGCGAUGCUUCAGAUCUAUUCCUCUUUUAACUAAAUCGAAUUGAACUGACAUUGAAAGAUUAAACAACACUAAGGUCUUCCAGAUAUGAUAGUCAUAUCAAAUGAACAACUUAGCUUGGAGAUUCUUUUAGAUACUAAAACUUUAUUUUUUAGAGGGAUUCCAAGAUCGAUCUCGGCUGAAACUUUCGAGAGGUAUUUAUAGGUGCAUCCCCAAGUUAUAGCUACAGUUUCUG